CAUUUUAUGAACUUUGCAACUUUUUCAAAAAAAAAUUUGCGUAGCGCUAGGCCGUUACUGUUACGUUAUGACCGCAAUUUGAAACCAUGAUAGCCACAAGUCCACAACACCCUUGUUUUCUUUACACUGUGUUUGUGACUACAACUCUGAUUUAUAUCAUAUCUAUGCUGGAAUAUUUUGCAAUUUGGUUUUUCUGCAAUCAAAUAAGUCAGAUUCUGUCCAAAUACAUAGUUUUUAGUUACUAACUAUUGAUAGAAAAUGAUGUUAAACUAUAACAAGAAACAUCACUGUGGUCAUGUUUGUGGUCAUCUAUGACUGGUUUACUGGUAUGCUAUGUGGCGUUAUUUGCAUGUCAUAACUCUUAGUUGAUUAAUUCUAUUUAGGUAUGUCUUAUGUUUAGUUAUUAUUAGUGGUCUUCAUUUUUCUGCAAUCUUCUUUCACAAUAAUAAGAAACAAUUUUAUUGCUCCCUUUCCCCCAGGAUGCUACUGUCUAGCUGCUCCGCAGGAUGCAAAUGUGGGAGUUCAUGCCUCAACAAACCCUUUCAACACCGACCUGUGAAGAAAAUGAAACUAGUACAGACCGAGAAAUGUGGAGCUGGGAUUGUGACUGAUGAAGAUAUUACACAGGGGGAGUUUGUAAUAGAGUACAUUGGAGAAGCUGACGUUUCUAAGAAUUGCAUGUUAUCACCAUUGAUGGUAUAUCUUCACAUUUUACUGUUGUAUUAAGUUUAGAACAUGUGACUCAGUGUUUAAUCUUUAUGUUUCAGUCAUAGAUGAUAAGACCUGUGAGGAAAGGCUUUGGAAUAUGAAACACCGUUGAGAGACAAAUUUUUACUUGUGUGAAAUUAAUCGAGAUAUGGUAAUUGAUGCCACAUACAAGGGAAACAAGUCAAGAUACAUAAAUCACAGUUGUUCUCCUAAUACCGAGAUGCAGAAAUGGUUCUAUAUCUGACCUUAUUGAUUCCUGAUCUCAAUUUAAAUAGUUAGUAGGGUAGUCUUACUUGUUUACACUACUUACUCCUUUUUAUUCUUUCAUUUUUUUUUUCUUUAAGGAUAAUUGAUGGUGAGACAAGAAUUGGCAUAUUUGCAACUCAGAACAUAAAAAAGGGCGAGCAUCUGACCUAUGAUUAUCAGUUUGUUCAAUUUGGUGCAGAUCAGGACUGCCAUUGUGGUGCUGUCGAUUGCAGGAGAAAACUAGGGACCCAGCAAGGCUAAGAUGUCUUCAGAUGCUGCAUUAAAAUUAGUAGCAUGCCAGGUGGCAGUGUCGUCUUCCAAAUUGAAGGCAAUUUUAUCUGGAAAAGAUGUUUAUCAGAAUGGAGGCUUGCAUACAGGGAGUUCACAACAUGCUUACAGUAAACGACGGAAAUGUUCUUAUACUUGCAUCGGGGAAGUGAUUCAGAUAUUUCGUCCAUAUAAUGAUAGAUCUUUUGGGAUGAUCAGGUGAUUUGAUAAGCAUUCAAGAAAGCAUGCGAUAAUGUUUGAAGACGGUGCUGUUGAAUUUCUAGACAUGUCAAAAGAAGAUUGGGAAUUCGUAACUUUGUGAUCUAGCUCCAGGGCAAUCAUUUUGGUACAUGGUGCUCACUUUCUCCCCCCUUUCUGCUUUUACCAAUUACACACACAAAUGACAAAUGGUCUGGUAGUCGUGAAUUUUAUAGGCAUUGAUCCACAAGCAGUCUAUGUUGAAUAUAACACCACUGUUGUUAGAACAGAACCGGAUUGGCUAGUCGGACCGGUUUAACUAGGAAUGAGACCAAUAACUGGUUGAAGCUUAAACCCUCUCAUCUUAAGAACUGGAGUUGAACCAUGCACCAGUUAACCCGGUUGGGUUUAAACGGGUGGAUUACCUAUCUUAAGAAAAGAAAAGAAAGCAACUUUGGACCGAAGGCAAUUUCAUACAUUGAUUGCCAUUUUAAUAGUUAUUUAUAAAAUAUAUUAAAUUAAUAAUUGUAACAAUGUAUUGUUAUUGUUGUUGUUAUAAGAGAUUAUUAAUUGUAAUGUAUAAUUAAUAUUUAUCUAAUAGUAUCUUGGUUUAAACUCCAGUUUGAUCCCAGAUGAACCUUAAAACUUUAACUUUUUGUUUUCACUAGUUCAAUGAACGCGCCGGUUUAAAAAACCUUGUAUAACACAUACACAUACACACAUUUAUGGUUUAUUUGGACUGCAUACCACUUUAAGUGGUUUGAGUGCAUUAUUUUAUUGGUUUUAAAAUAGAUACUCCCAUCAAAUUUUAAGUACUUUGAUGCUAUAAAUUUGUAGGAAUGGCAAUAGAGUGGGGUGGGAUGGUUAACAAGUAUCCUUGUUUAAUUUUUUUUUUCCAGUGAAUUUUUUUGAUUUAACUAUUUAAUUUUGUCAAAUAAAACUGAUAAAAAUCUGAAAAAUUGCGAUACAAAUUGAUAAAAUUAAAAGAUUUUACUAAAAUUGAUACUUCAUAAAAGGAUUUGGAAAAGUUUUUUGGUGAACUGAAUUGUUUCAAAUUGAGUUGAUUGCUAAAAUUUUUGUCUAAUCCAAGUGAUGAGCAAUUGUAAGUUUCGUAACAUGUUUUUUGAGUGAAAGCUAGGUGUGUGUUUGAGCCGAAUUGAGUCAGUUUAGUGCCAAGCUUGAGCUUGACUCAAUUCUAAAACUCGAAACUUGAAAUUCAACCUGGCUUAGUCAAGCUAUAUUUUUUAGAGCUUGAACCCUACUUGAUGAGAUACUUGAGAUAGUCGAGCUCGGUUAGAUAACUAUAACUAGAAGUUUAGAAUCUCAAAUAUAAGGUUAAAUAAACUUGAAUAAGCUUGAAUUAGAGAUUAACAUUUUUUUAUUAUAUAUUAUACACAGGUAAAACUUAGCAUAAAACUUAGUCAUUUCUCAUGACAUGGAUCCUUAUGAUAUUUAUAUAUAUGGGUAAAAGUGUAAUCUUAGACAAGCUCGAUUGGGCUUGUGAGCUGCUCGAGUUGAGUAAUAUGGUACUUGAACCAUGGAUUUAAUUUGCACUACAGUUGCAAUCAUAGUCGCGAGUAACAGAAAAAGUUUGUAAUGGCCAUAAAGUAAUAUUAAUGGUCUAUCCCUAUGCAAAUUUUUUUGAAAAUUUUACAAAGUUCAUGAAAUGCAUACAUACUCAAAGAUAUAAUUAAAACUAAGA
rnacentral:misc_RNA from 1 species